UCCCUGGAGGACUAGUGGUUAGGCCUCGGUGCUCUCACUGCCACGGUCCUGGUUUGAUUCCCAGCCAGGGAA